rnacentral:tRNA from 1 species
GGACGGUUAGCUCAGCUGGUUAGAGCAUCUCGUUUACACCGAGAGGGCCGCAGGUUCGAAUCCUGCACCGUCUA